rnacentral:rRNA from 1 species
GGAAUAUUGCGCAAUGGAGGAAACUCUGACGCAGCGACGCCGCGUGCGGGAUGAAGGCCUUCGGGUUGUAAACCGCUUUCAGUAGGGAAGAAGCGAAAGUGACGGUACCUACAAAAGAAGCACCGGCUAACUAUGUGCCAGCAGCCGCGGUAAUACAUAGGGUGCAAGCGUUGUCCGGAAUUAUUGGGCGUAAAGAGCUCGUAGGUCGUUUGUUACGUCGGAUGUGAAAAUCUGAGGCUCAACCUCAGACCUGCAUUCGAUACGGGCAAACUAGAGUUUGGUAGAGGAGACUGGAAUUCCUGGUGUAGCGGUGGAAUGCGCAGAUAUCAGGAGGAACAUCAACGGCGAAGGCAGGUCUCUGGGCCAAUACUGACACUGAGGAGCGAAAGCGCGGGGAGCGAACAGGAUUAGAUACCCUGGUAGUCCGCGCCGUAAACGGUGGGUACUAGUUGUGGGAAUCUUCCACGGUUUCUGCGACGACGCUAACGCAUUAAGUACCCCGCCUGGGGAGUACGAUCGCAAGAUUAAAACUCAAAUGAAUUGACGG